rnacentral:tRNA from 1 species
AGCCCUGUAGUGUAGCGGCCAAUCAUCUCGCCCUCUGGAGGCGGGGACGGCAGUUCGAAUCUGCCCAGGGCUA